rnacentral:lncRNA from 1 species
CUGCUGGCCACAUAGACUGAUUGAUCUACUAUUUAAUCCUCUCUACUGCCUCUUACCCUCUUUAAUUUUCUCAUUUUCUUGUGCUAUCUUACCAACUUUAGAGUCUCCUUCUCUUUGAUUCAGCUAGUCUUCUUGUCCAUUUUGUUAAUCUUUGCCACCAAUUGUCCUUAUCUAGAUAUGUUGGAUUUCUAGAUGAUUAGCAUACAGA